UACGUAGGAUCCAAGCGUUGUCCGGAUUUACUGGGUGUAAAGGGUGCGCAGGCGGACUUAUAAGUCAGGGGUGAAAUCUCACGGCUCAACCGUGAAACUGCCUUUGAUACUGUAGGUCUUGAGUUAGAGAGAGAUUCGUGGAAUUCCGAGUGUAGCAGUGAAAUGUGUAGAUAUUCGGAAGAACACCAGUGGCGAAGGCAGCGAAUUGGCUCUAUACUGACGCUCAGGCACGAAAGCAUGGGGAUCAAACAGG
rnacentral:rRNA from 1 species